rnacentral:rRNA from 2 species
GCUGGAUCACCUCCUUA